rnacentral:misc_RNA from 1 species
UUUCCGUAGGUGAACCUGUGGAAGGAUCAUUAUCGAACCCUGCAUAGCAGAACAACCCGCGAACACGUUGAAAACACAUUUGGGGGAUGCGUGCACGAGACAAUGUGACGGCCCUCCGUGCAUCCGACCCCUUCCUUAUGGUGCCGGAGCAAUCGAUCGAAAGCGCGUGAGCUUUGGUCCCCAAGAAAUAAAACCCCAGCGUAAUUCGCGCCAAGGAAAACUCUAAACUCAAGGGCGUGCUCUCCUCACGUUACCCCCGUUUUCGGGUGCGCGACUAGGUGUUUGCCCGCUCUUUAGUGAAAACACAAAAGACUCUUAGCAAUGGAUAUCUCGGCUCUC